rnacentral:rRNA from 1 species
GAUGAACGCUGGCGGCGUGCCUAAUACAUGCAAGUCGAGCGAACAGACGAGGAGCUUGCUCCUUUGACGUUAGCGGCGGACGGGUGAGUAACACGUAGGUAACCUACCUAUAAGACUGGGAUAACUUCGGGAAACCGGAGCUAAUACCGGAUAAUAUUUCGAACCGCAUGGUUCGAUAGUGAAAGAUGGCUUUGCUAUCACUUAUAGAUGGACCUGCGCCGUAUUAGCUAGUUGGUAGGGUAACGGCUUACCAAGGCAACGAUACGUAGCCGACCUGAGAGGGUGAUCGGCCACACUGGAACUGAGACACGGUCCAGACUCCUACGGGAGGCAGCAGUAGGGAAUCUUCCGCAAUGGGCGAAAGCCUGACGGAGCAACGCCGCGUGAGUGAUGAAGGUCUUCGGAUCGUAAAGCUCUGUUAUUAGGGAAGAACAAAAGUGUAAGUAACUGUGCACGUCUUGACGGUACCUAAUCAGAAAGCCACGGCUAACUACGUG